rnacentral:rRNA from 1 species
UACGUAGGGAGCAAGCGUUGUCCGGAAUCAUUGGGCGUAAAGCGCGCGUAGGUGGCCUCAUAAGUCCGCUGUGAAAGUCAAAAGGCUCAACCUUUGAAAGCCGGUGGAUACUGUGAGGCUAGAGUACGGAAGAGGCGAGUGGAAUUCCUGGUGUAGCGGUGGAAUGCGCAGAUAUCGGGAGGAACACCAGUGGCGAAGGCGACUACCUGGCCUGUUCUUGACGCUGAGGCGCGAAAGCUAGGGGAGCAACGGGG